rnacentral:rRNA from 1 species
CAGUAGCCGCGGUAAUACGGAGGGAGCUAGCGUUGUUCGGAAUUACUGGGCGUAAAGCGCACGUAGGCGGUUAUUCAAGUCAGAGGUGAAAGCCCGGGGCUCAACCCCGGAACUGCCUUUGAAACUAGAUGACUUGAAUCUUGGAGAGGUCAGUGGAAUUCCGAGUGUAGAGGUGAAAUUCGUAGAUAUUCGGAAGAACACCAGUGGCGAAGGCGACUGACUGGACAAGUAUUGACGCUGAGGUGCGAAAGCGUGGGGAGCAAACAGGAUUAGAUACCCGGGUAGUCCCUGUCUCUUAUAU